rnacentral:rRNA from 1 species
UACGGAGGGUGCAAGCGUUAUCCGGAUUCACUGGGUGUAAAGGGUGCGUAGGUGGGCCUGUAAGUCAGCUGUGAAAUCUCCGGGCUUAACCCGGAAACUGCCAUUGAUACUAUAGGUCUUGAAUUAUCUGGAGGUAAGCGGAAUAUGUCAUGUAGCGGUGAAAUGCUUAGAUAUGACAUAGAACACCAAUUGCGAAGGCAGCUUACUACGGAUACAUUGACACUGAGGCACGAAAGCGUGGGGAUCAAACAGG